GACGAACGCUGGCGGCGUGCUUAACACAUGCAAGUCGAACGGAAAGGCCCUGCUUUUGUGGGGUUCUCGAGUGGCGAACGGGUGAGUAACACGUGAGUAACCUGCCCUUGACUUUGGGAUAACUUCAGGAAACUCGGGCUAAUACCGGAUAGGAGCUCCUGCUGCAUGGUGUGGGUUGGAAAGUUUCGGCGGUUGGGGAUGGACUCGCGGCUUAUCAGCUUGUUGGGGGGGUAGUUGCUUACCAAGGCUUGGACGGGUAGCCGGCCUGAGAGGGUGACCGGCCACAUUGGGACUGAGAUACGGCCCAGACUCCUACGGGAGGCAGCAGUGGGGAAUAUUGCACAAUGGGCGGAAGCCUGAUGCAGCAACGCCGCGUGCGGGAUGACGGCCUUCGGGUUGUAAACCGCUUUCGCCUGUGACGAAGCGUGAGUGACGGUAAUGGGUAAAGAAGCACCGGCUAACUACGUG
rnacentral:rRNA from 1 species